GGGGCUGUGGCGCAACUGGUAGCGCACCUGCAUGGCAUGCAGGGGGUCAGGGGUUCAAAUCCCCUCAGCUCCACCA
rnacentral:tRNA from 1 species